rnacentral:rRNA from 1 species
UGGAGCUGAAAUCAGUCGAAGAUACCAGCUGGCUGCAACUGUUUAUUAAAAACACAGCACUGUGCAAACACGAAAGUGGACGUAUACGGUGUGACGCCUGCCCGGUGCCGGAAGGUUAAUUGAUGGGGUUAUCCGUAAGGAGAAGCUCUUGAUCGAAGCCCCGGUAAACGGCGGCCGUAACUAUAACGGUCCUAAGGUAGCGAAAUUCCUUGUCGGGUAAGUUCCGACCUGCACGAAUGGCGUAAUGAUGGCCAGGCUGUCUCCACCCGAGACUCAGUGAAAUUGAACUCGCUGUGAAGAUGCAGUGUACCCGCGGCAAGACGGAAAGACCCCGUGAACCUUUACUAUAGCUUGACACUGAACACUGGUCCUUGAUGUGUAGGAUAGGUGGGAGGCUUUGAAGUGUGGACGCCAGUCUGCAUGGAGCCAUCCUUGAAAUACCACCCUUUAAUGGCUGGUGUUCUAACGUGGACCCGUGAUCCGGGUUGCGGACAGUGUCUGGUGGGUAGUUUGACUGGGGCGGUCUCCUCCUAAAGAGUAACGGAGGAGCACGAAGGUUAGCUAAUCCUGGUCGGACAUCAGGAGGUUAGUGCAAAGGCAUAAGCUAGCUUGACUGCGAGAGUGACGGCUCGAGCAGGUGCGAAAGCAGGUCUUAGUGAUCCGGUGGUUCUGAAUGGAAGGGCCAUCGCUCAACGGAUAAAAGGUACUCCGGGGAUAACAGGCUGAUACCGCCCAAGAGUUCAUAUCGACGGCGGUGUUUGGCACCUCGAUGUCGGCUCAUCACAUCCUGGGGCUGAAGUAGGUCCCAAGGGUAUGGCUGUUCGCCAUUUAAAGUGGUACGCGAGCUGGGUUUAGAACGUCGUGAGACAGUUCGGUCCCUAUCUGCCGUGGGCGCUGGAGAAUUGAGGGGGGCUGCUCCUAGUACGAGAGGACCGGAGUGGACGCAUCACUGGUGUUCGGGUUGUCAUGCCAAUGGCAUUGCCCGGUAGCUAAAUGCGGAAGAGAUAAGUGCUGAAAGCAUCUAAGCACGAAACUUGCCCCGAGAUGAGUUCUCCCUGAGACUAUAAGUCUCCUGAAGGAACGUU